rnacentral:sRNA from 1 species
UGUGUUGGUACAAACAAAUGGUGGAUCGUUGACACGUGAACAAAACUUAAUUCCAAUGGUUAUAUCGUUAUGAACUCCCAAAUGUUUAAAAGCAUGCACCACCAAUAAUCUUAUUCUUUUUUAGCCGAUUGUUGGAUACGACAUGCAUAAGCCCUUGAAUUGAUAUCAACGUGAAGCCGAAAGUGAGAUUUAGGUCUGACAUGCGCAAUACCACUGAAUUGAAUUGGUACCCUUAUUUUUUGUAUUCCACUAGGCACUAGUAGUAGCUAUGAUAUAUAAUCGAUCAAUGAACUAAUAGUAAUUUCAAGCCAUGCACGCCGAUAAAACAGUACAAACCUCAAAAUGAUAUGAUAUUGUUUGGAGUUGUUAACUCUUUAAUUAUCGUUCUUUUCUUCAUAUAAAAAAUAGGAUUUUUAGUAAUUAAACCCCCCAACUAAAGAUAUAUUGUGAAAAAACCCCUCAAUUAUUUAUUUAAUGAAAAAACACCUGAAGUUUAAAAUUAUUUGUGAAAACCACCCGCCGUCUACAGUACCGUCAAAAUAAAACGAUGUGUUUUAAAUAUAAAAAAAUGACAUGUUUUUUUGCUUAAAACAACACGAAAUAAUCAAAAAACAACACGAAGUUCUUAUACCUUAUUAUAAACCCCUAAAUCCACUUUAGCUCUUAAAUCGACGACAUUGAAUCGCGAAAUUUUGUAGACUGAAUGCGGCUGGAGCUUGCAAGAUGUUAAGGUAACUGUUACAAGACAUUCUUAUUGGUUUUAGUUUUCCUUUUCACGUACUCUAAAAACUUUUUUUUUUGCUUCGAUCCAUACUUUGACUUUUAAACUCACCUUGGGGAGUUAAUUUCUUUGGUGCACUAUAGAGCCACGUCUUUGAGUUUAUGUGAUGGCGUUCAUGCUUAGAGAUGCUACAUGUAUACUCGUGCCCACUUCUUAUAUCUUUUGAAUUUUGUUGGAAAAUAUUCUUGUUUUUUCAAUUUUUUAAAUUGGUUUUGAGACGUAUAUCUUAUUCCUUGCAUUACAUGAUACAAUAUUAAAAACUUAGGAGAUUGAUCAGAAUUUUAGAGAGUUUUUGAUAAUUGUAUUUGUCAGGACACUUUUCUUUCGAUUGCAUGUAGGAGGAUAUUGGGCAGCAGAUGGUUCAUACCAUGGCGGUGAGACAAGAUGUUUACAGCUUGAUUUUGAAGUUCCUAGUUUAGCAAUGUUGACAAAUAUGGUUUUGAGUGCUGGUUAUACAGAAAAUAUGAGUAAGUUUUCUUACUUCCCAUCUGGAGAAGUAGGUCAGAAUCGUAAGGAUUUGUGUGGUGAUAGUGAUGUUGCCGAAAUGAUUACGUGUACACAUGAGUUGGAAAGCAAGAAUUUAUAUGUUGUUAGGGCAGAUGAUCCUUAUCUAGAUGAUGUUCUUAUUGGAGAAAGGGAGGAAGAAGAGGAGCUUGAGAGUGAACAACUUGAUUUUUACCGUGAUGAUUAUGUCGAGAGUGAUGACUCAGAUGAUGAUGGUGCUAGAAUAGAUUUUUAUGUAGGGCAAGAGUUUGUUUCUAAAGAGAAGUGUAAGGAUACAAUUGAGAAGUAUGCUAUUAGAGAGAAGGUGAAUAUACAUUUUAAGAGAUCCGAAAGGAAUAAAAUAGAAGGAGUGUGUGUUCAGGAUUGUUGCAAGUGGAGAAUAUAUGCAUCAAUAACCAGUCGUUCAGACAAAAUGGUUGUUCAAUCUUACAAAGGAAUUCACAGUUGUUAUCCUAUAGGUGUUGUGGAUCUCUAUAGUGCACCAAAGAUAGCUGCUGAUUUUAUAAAUGAGUUUAGGACUAAUUCGAACUUGUCAGCUGGCCAAAUAAUGCAGAGGUUGUAUCUAAAUGGUCUUCGAGUCACAAAAACUAAAUGUCAGAGUGCAAGGCAGAUUAUGAAACACAUCAUUAGUGAUGAGUAUGUUGAGCAGUUUACGAGAAUGUAUGAUUAUGUUGAAGAGCUGAGAAAGACUAAUCCAGGUUCAACAAUUAUUUUAGGUACAAAAGAUAGAAUUUUUGAGAAAUUCUAUACUUGCUUCGAAGCUCAAAAAACGGGUUGGAAGACAGCAUGUCGACGUGUUAUUCAUUUGGGUGGAACAUUUCUAAAGGGACGCAUGAAAGGACAAUUGUUGACUGCUGUGGGAAGGGAUCCUAAUGAUGCAAUGUAUAUCAUCGCAUGGGCUAUUGUACCAGUGGAGAACAAGGUCUAUUGGCAGUGGUUUAUGGAGUUAUUAGGAGAAGACUUACGUUUGGAGCUUGGUAAUGGUCUUGCAUUAUCUUCGGAUCAGCAAAAGGGACUGAUAUAUGCAAUAAAAAACGUCCUACCUUACGCAGAGCAUAGAAUGUGUGCUAGA